rnacentral:rRNA from 1 species
UACAGAGGGUGCAAGCGUUAAUCGGAAUUACUGGGCGUAAAGCGUGCGUAGACGGUUAUGUAAGUCAGAUGUGAAAGCCCCGGGCUUAACCUGGGAAUGGCAUUUGAGACUGCAUAGCUAGGGUGCGGAAGAGGGAAGCGGAAUUUCCGGUGUAGCGGUGAAAUGCGUAGAUAUCGGAAGGAACACCAGUGGCGAAGGCGGCGAUCUGGGAAGAUACUGACGCUGAGGUGCGAAAGCGUGGGGAGCAAACAGG